CGCCCGAGGCAGUAUCGCGGGUUCGUAUAUGCCUUACUUUUACGAUUGGGUAAUACAUUUAAUGAGGGUUUUCUAAAAUGGCAAUCCACGAGGUGGCAGCACCGAGUCGUCAGGUCCAAUAACUGUCAAAGUGCUUAUCUUUACUAUGAAUAGUGAACGAUUUUAGUGUUUUUUUUAUUUUAUAAUUAAAGCACUGCAUUAUUGUUUUACUAUUGCGGUUGAGUAAAUAAAAAAAACUAAAUCAUAUUGUGUUAACAAAUUUUUCAACAAGCUUUUCCUUAGUACCAGUGACUUUUGCACCUUCUCUCUUAGCUCAAUUUUUAGUUCGGAAACCUUAUUCUGACCGUAGUCCAUAAUAAAAUCAAUAACACUUCUAAUAUAACAGAAUUUCAAUAAACAAUAAGUUCGGCACCUACAAUUCCAUACUAUUUGACAGCUGUUUGGACCAGACGCAUACGUGGCGCCACCCGGUGGCAGAAAAAAUUUCAAAAACCCUCAUUAAAAAACCAUGUCGGUGAAACUGGCUGAUGGUAGUAUUAGAAACAGUACCGCUUUGUUUACAAGUGUGAAUGUAAAAUGUAUGUCACUGUGUAUACCCAUUGAAUUUAUUGUGUUCCAUCAGGGAAUGCCUGUAAUAACGAAACCCUUUUGGGAAUAGAUUUUAUUAGGCAGUCUAAGAUUGUUGAAAAUUUUAGUCAUAUGACGUGGUUCACAGCUGAUCGGCUUCAGGUCAUUCACCCCCUGCUCACAGAGAUUUCACGCGAGGCGGUGGAAUGUGCUUCGGUCAACCCGCUGGGGGAGGACGAGGGCACAUUAUUGACCUUGGAUCAGCGUUCUGACCUUAAAAAUUUAUUGCUUUGCCAUCGGAUUUAGAGUUGAGGAAAAAAAUGGUUUGAGGUGAUACCUGGAAACUUACGUAAAAGUUCUGUGAUUUGCACACUUCAUUUCAAACCUGAAGAUUAUCGAACAGAGGCUCGGAAAAGGUUAAAACUUGGAGUGAUUCCUUCUAUCUUUCCAAAGAUUAUUUCCGAAGCUAAAAAAAUUAUAUGUUAAGCGUUAUACGCCUGGCUACUCCUGAAAACGAAGAACCUGGAUGUUCUAAAAGUCCUCCAUGUAAGAAGAUAAAUUUGAUAUUACUACACAGACAUCAACAUUACCUGCUACACCAAGGAAAAUAAAAUUGAAGCGUGAGGUGAAAAAUCUAAAGCAGAAAAUCAAAAGAAGAGAGGUAGUGAGGUGACAGUUGAAUAUAUCAAAAUAAUAGAUCGGAUAUUUGAUUUGUUUAAUUGCUAACUACCUUUUGGUAAAGGAUUUAAAUCUCCGAUGCGUAUACAGAAUAUGGAUGUGUGGAUGAAUAUUUUGAACGAGACAAGGGAAUAUCUUUGCAAACAUAAAGUUGACGGUUGUCCAAUGUUGCAGCAUCGUCGUACGACACCGUGUCUCGGUUUAAUCGACACAUUUAGUUUUCUCAACUUGCAUUAGAUUUGCUUCAAAAAGGGAUAUUGAAAUAUUUCCUUACAUACAAAUGUUCUCAAGACCAUCUAGAAAUGUUCUUUUCUUGUUUGAGGGCUGCUGGCGGGCAUAAUGAUACCCCGAGUGCUUUGCAAGUCAAGUAUAGCUUAAGAAAACUACUGUUCCGUAACAGCGUCACUCCUAGUGUGAAAGAUUCUCUAUUGAAAACUGACAGGAAUAAAAUAAUGAUUUUAAUUCAACAGCAGUUUUUCGAUAAAUUAGAGUCCAUGAUUGUUCCGCCAGAUCCAGUGAAUUCUUUCAAUUGUGAAAACAGACAUGAAAUUAUUCUUUUAAAAUACAUUGCUAACAAAUAUCUCACAUUGAGACUGACAACUUUUGGCAAAGAUCAAACAUUGAAGGCCAUAGGCGCAUCUCGCGCUACUUUACGCCAUAAAUUGCACAAAACAAUUUUGUUCAGUAAUGUGUAAUUUUAAAAUGUCUACAUAAAUAAUAAAUAUACCAUUUACUAUAAUAA